CCCAGCGCCCACCCCAGCCGGCAAGUUCCCUGAGCCUCCUCCAGGCAGGAGAGCCAAAGCCCGCUUCUCGACAUCAGCACGCUGCCCCCAGGAUGCAUUCUAAAAUCCGCAACAGCCAAAUGCUGUCUUCAGGCCUCAGUGGUGGUACAGUACAGGGUAACUCUUCUAUUUACAGGUACAUGAAGGUUUAGGAUGAAACCACUGCGGUUUCCACUUUCCUGAACACAGUCGGUCCCUCUCCCCGACUCCAAGAACCAGACUGAAUUCUGUCCCUUGUGAACUUAGGGUGACGAGCUAAGCACUGGGUUCCAUCCGUUCGGAGAAUGUCCCAGGGCACAACCAAGGCUAAUCCACUACCCUGGUAUGUAGCUCUUGAGGCCUCCAGGAAAAAUAAAGAAUCACCGCUUGUAGCAGCAAGAGAGAAAUCAGUAAAGAUCUCACACUCAGACCUACAGGAUGUUAGGGUCGCCUGAAGGGCAGAGGAGAAUGAAAUGUUUUGAAGCAUGACGAGGCAAAGGCAACAGCGAGAGCCACUGGACGAGGGCCGGCUGUGUCCAGCUUUGCUGUCCUUCAGGCCCGAAGUGUGUCCCUAUGAAAUCAUUCGAAACUCCUCCUGCCAUCAACAUCUAUGACUUUCGGUUUCAUCAGCCAGAGAAACUGAACAGUUUUCUUCCUGUAAACAUCUGAGUCACAAAGAAAAAUUACAGCCAAGUUUUUUUUUUUUUUCUUAAUUUUUUUUGUUGUUGUUAUUGUUAAAAAAAAAAAAAAAAUGUCUGUAGCUGCCAGGAGUUGCAGCGCUGAACUUUUCUUACCCGGUGGGCAGACUUAAGCGUGGAUCAGCGGAUGCCAACACCCUUAGUCGGGCUCCAGUUUCAAAGGGGAGCCCUGAGUCCCCCAGACACUCCUCCCCCUUUCUUUCUCCUUCGAGCCUCGAGCCCCGGUGGCAGCGGGAGAGGACGGUAGAGGCCUGUCGUUACCAGCACGUGAGUGCACCUCCUGGAUGGAGGCAGGUCCUUUGAUUUCAAUGCCGCGGACACACAGACCAGGGGCCUGAUGAAGGGACAGAAUCCUCACAAGCACGGGGAUCCUUCCUGGAGCAUUUGUAAAUGAAUCGGGCACUGCGCUUCUCCCCACCCCUGCCUGGGAUCCUUGCCUUCAGCGGAUGGAUGGAUUCCAGUUUUAGUCUUGCCUUUCUCAGUUAUAGAGAGAACAAGUGUGUAAAGUGUGUAAUCGGCUUCUGGCAUGGGAGACACCCUGGAGAAUCUCAAGAUGUCAAAUAAACGGAAGGAACCCGGAGGCGGUGUUGCUGUGACCUGCUCUGUGGUCUUCAGGGAGGAGGGGAACCUGGCUGGAAGGGAGGGGCUCGGAGACCAGCUGCAUUUGGCAUAUGACGGACGUGAAGUCAUCUAAAGGGGAAAAAACCUACUGCAUGGAUCUGCACGAGGGGGAUGGAGAAGUUGCAGCCUGAAUUUGGAAGCCGUCUGGAUAAUUCCACCAAAGCAGCCAACUUUCAGGGAGAUAUCUUGAGAGAAUGUGUAUUAAGAGGCCUCCAAUCCAUACCCUGCCAAGUGGGAAGACUUCACCAUCAUCGGGAGAGUGUCAGAGAUAGUCCUGGUUUUUUAUAUUCAAUUACCAGCUAAAGCUCCCUCUGGCAAGUCAAGACUUCUAAUUCCAUGUGUUGGAGAAGACAACUGAGCAAGCAUUGGACGUCUUGCCGUAUUAACUUGAACAACCCGUUCACAAUUGUCCCUGAAGUUUAUAAUAUUGAUCUUGGAAAUCUUGUUGGCUCUCUAGAGAAAAGAAUAAUACAUUUAAAUAGACUUUUAACCACUUAAGUGGCCAAGGAAAAUAAAAUCAGUAAAAUAAAUAAUUAAAUAAAGGAAAGAAAAAGAAAAACAAAGCCCACCUUGCGUAGCCUUGAAAUUGGAGACUGAAGACCACGGCAAGACACAAACAGCAACUGCUUUUCCUUGUCAGGAGUGUGCACGGGGCUGAGAGGCCACCUCGCAGUGUCCAUUUCCAAACAACGAGCGCCGUGUUGCAAGGCCUGAGAAAGACGCGCCGGCAGCCCCCCCUGCGGCCCCGAGUGCCUCCGUCUCAGGGCUGUUCUUACAGCCGUGGCCUUGAGCGUGAGUGAACAGGACUUCUCAAGGCCACGGCUGUAGGAGCCAGCGUGCCAACAGACAGCCUGGGAGCAGACCGGCUCGCCUUCCUCGUCCUCUCUCCACAGUGGCCUCGGCUCACGUGGGCUGCUUCAGGAUGCUUUAGGAAGAGAAAGUCGCCUCAUCUUGAGAAGGAAUCGUGAGCAGCAAGCACGGGAAGUAAGUCCACGGAGACGGGGGGCCACCUCCUCAGACCAGAGACACUUGGGAGUGCUGUGAGCUUGGGGUGCCCGGGGGGUGUGGUCUGUUCAGCAUCCGACUCUUAGUUUCAGCUCAGGCUGGGAUCUCAGGGUCCUGAGAUCGAGUCCCGCGCCGGGCUCUGCGCUCAACAUGGGUCUGACUGACAUUCUCUCUCUCUCCCUCUGCCCCUCCUGCUCAUUCUCUCUCUCUCUCUCUCUCUCUAAUAAAUGAAUCUUCAGGAAAAGAAAAAAAAAAAAAAAGAGUGGUGGGAGCUGGAGACCACUAAGGGCAGUCACCUGUGUGAUUGGACCUUACUUGUGUCUGAGUGCUCACUGAUGUGACCCAUCUACCAGAACCCAGGAAAACACUUUCCCAGGGAAGUGAAUCAGCAGUACUGAUUUCUAUAUGAAAGUAACAGGAGUAACAGUGGAAUGCAGCCUGGAGGAAAUUGUACAGCUCCUCGGGGUGAGGGAAUAGGACAGUGGAGAAUGUCAGUUCGUGCAUGACAGACAUAACUGUAACACAGGGUUUGAAAAGUCAUACUCCGUGAGAUUACCAUCGUUCCAAAUGCACUUCAAGACAUCUAUGCAUUUUACAUUUUACUCCUUAAAUCUUUUGCUCCCUCUCCAGUGCACUCAUAAGAUGAUCAUAAGGUCUUAAAAAAUAAAAUGGGCUACAGAUGAUUGAUUAAUGUAGGAUGCCAUUUUCAUAAAAAGUUAUGUGUAUCCUAUGCCGUGAGAAUUGGAAAGGGCGCACAUGAGGUUACCCAGAUGUUGGGAUUUCAGGUAAGUUACAUUUUGCUUCAGUGACUUGUGGUCUGGAUUUUGUCAUUUUUUGCUAAGAUAAUUAUGUAUUAAUUGCAACGAAAGAAAGUUAAAAAAAAGAAAAAGAAGGAAAGAUAAAAGAUCGUAGCUGAUACAGUUUUGCCAUUCUGGCCCCUGUAAGCUUGCCCCUUUUUCUUGUAUGGAAUAUAAUUCUCUUCUUCUACACGAGGGGUCAUUGGUAUUUCCAUGACCUUUUAGACCAGCUUUCACAUUUAUGGGACAGAGCAAGAGUCUGGCAAAUCCAGGUUUCAGGGUAAUAUAAUCAGAACUAAUAAAAUCAUGCAAGUAUAAAAUGCAGCUUACUCUUUUUCAUUUCCAGGUGUUUGUGUAUGGUUUUCCUUCUGCUUACAUUUCCCUAGACCCUUAGACGCUUGGCUUUUCCCCUGUACUUUUGUAUAUGUCUCUGGGUAUGUGGAUGGACAUCUUUGAUCUCAGCUUAUAUAUUACUUCUUGCCUCAAUUAGAUGACUCUCGUCUAUGCUCCAUUGGACCCUGUGAAAUUCUUAGUUUGGUAUGUGGUGCUAUUUUGUUGGGCAACUGUAUUUAUUGAGAGCACACUCUGAGGAGGUCCUGAGUUAGUCACUUGGAUAAACCUACCUUAAAAGACAGAAAGGGCACGUCUACUCUUGAAGCUUAUAGUGCCGGUGAAAUGACAACUGAUAAUUACAGUUGUCACAAGUGGUAGAAAAGGGGAAAAAAAGAUCCAAUGCCAGUGAACACAAAGAAGACUUCUCCUAGCCUAAGACAGGACCUACAAGAGGAUUUCCUGGGAAGGAGACACUAAAUUGGGAACCAGGGGAUGAAAAAGUUU